ensembl:lncRNA
GUUGUUACUGUUGCUUAUUGUUCAUCACUGUUCUUCCUGCAGACUGUUGGUCAUAUUCUACAAUGUGGUUGAUAGCAGAGUUGCACCUACAGCCAGUAUCUUCUCACAGGACAUUUAAUUGCUCAAAUGAUGAAAACCGUAGGCUUUGAUGUGGUGAAGUAUCUGUACGACUUCCUGUGAUCCUCUUGCAGUGGACAUGAACCAGGCAUCUAAGUGAACAAAAUCACAUCACUUGGAAUUAUGGAUGUGAAUGGACUGCCGGAUAAAUUAUGUUACAGGAAAUUCCUGCAUUUAUUAGUCCAAUCAGAUGUCACCAUGGGAAAACACUCACAGUUUAUACCUGAGACUCUUUCCUAAAAGGGAGAUUUAAUGGGUUUGGUGUGUCAACGACAUGUGACACAA